rnacentral:misc_RNA from 1 species
UCCGGUUUGUCACCGGCAGUCUCGCAUGAGUCCCCAACUAAAUGCUGGCAACAUGCGACGGGGGUUGCGCUCGUUGCGGGACUUAACCCAACAUCUCACGACACGAGCUGACGACAGCCAUGCACCACCUGUGAUCGUGCCCCGAAGGGAGAGUGUGUUUCCUACCACCGACAUGUCAAGCCCAGGUAAGGUUUUUCGCGUUGCGUCGAAUUGAACCACAUGCUCCACCGCUUGUGCGGGUCCCCGUCAAUUCCUUUGAGUUUUAGCCUUGCGGCCGUACUCCCCAGGCGGGGCGCUUAAUGCGUUAGCUGCGGCACGGAGACCGUGGAAGGUCCCCACACCUAGCGCCCAACGUUUACGGCAUGGACUAC